rnacentral:tRNA from 1 species
GGGCCAUUAGCUCAGUUGGUUAGACGCGCCCGGCUCAUAACCGGGUAGGCUGGGGUUCGAGUCCCUGAGGCCCACCA